rnacentral:rRNA from 1 species
GGAAUAUUGGACAAUGGGCGAAAGCCUGAUCCAGCCAUGCCGCGUGUGUGAAGAAGGUCUUCGGAUUGUAACGCACUUUAAGUUGGGAGGAAGGGCAGUAAGCGAAUACCUUGCUGUUUUGACGUUACCGACAGAAUAAGCACCGGCUAACUCUGUGCCAGCAGCCGCGGUAAUACAGAGGGUGCAAGCGUUAAUCGGAAUUACUGGGCGUAAAGCGCGCGUAGGUGGUUGGUUAAGUUGGAUGUGAAAGCCCCGGGCUCAACCUGGGAACUGCAUCCAAAACUGGCCGACUAGAGUACAGUAGAGGGCGGUGGAAUUUCCUGUGUAGCGGUGAAAUGCGUAGAUAUAGGAAGGAACACCGGUGGCGAAGGCGGGUCUCUGGGCCGAUACUGACGCUGAGGAGCGAAAGCGUGGGGAGCGAA